rnacentral:rRNA from 3 species
UGGAGAGUUUGAUCCUGGCUCAGGACGAACGCUGGCGGCGUGCCUAAUACAUGCAAGUAGAACGCUGACUACUUUAGCUUGCUAGAGUAGAAGGAGUUGCGAACGGGUGAGUAACGCGUAGGUAACCUGCCUACUAGCGGGGGAUAACUAUUGGAAACGAUAGCUAAUACCGCAUAACAGUGUUUAACACAUGUUAGAUGCUUGAAAGAUGCAAUUGCAUCACUAGUAGAUGGACCUGCGUUGUAUUAGCUAGUUGGUGGGGUAACGGCCCACCAAGGCGACGAUACAUAGCCGACCUGAGAGGGUGAUCGGCCACACUGGGACUGAGACACGGCCCAGACUCCUACGGGAGGCAGCAGUAGGGAAUCUUCGGCAAUGGGGGCAACCCUGACCGAGCAACGCCGCGUGAGUGAAGAAGGUUUUCGGAUCGUAAAGCUCUGUUGUAAGAGAAGAACGUGUGUGAGAGUGGAAAGUUCACACAGUGACGGUAACUUACCAGAAAGGGACGGCUAACUACGUGCCAGCAGCCGCGGUA